AUUAUAUGUGUGUGUGUGUGUGUGUGUGUGUGUGUGUGUGUACACACACACACACACACACAGAGUUUUAAUUU